rnacentral:rRNA from 1 species
UACGAAGGGGGCUAGCGUUGUUCGGAAUUACUGGGCGUAAAGCGCACGUAGGCGGGUCGUUAAGUCAGGGGUGAAAUCCCGGAGCUCAACUCCGGAACUGCCUUUGAUACUGGCGACCUUGAGGCCGGAAGAGGUUAGUGGAAUUCCCAGUGUAGAGGUGAAAUUCGUAGAUAUUGGGAAGAACACCAGUGGCGAAGGCGGCUAACUGGUCCGGAUCUGACGCUGAGGUGCGAAAGCGGUGGGGAGCAAAACAGG